GAGAGGUCUAAUGGCUGGUUUUCCUGCUUGUGCUCUGAGAGCUUUUCCUGCUAAUGCAGCAUCAUUCCUGGGAUAUGAAAUGACCAAAGAUUUUUUAACCCAGUACACUUAA
rnacentral:ribozyme from 1 species